rnacentral:rRNA from 1 species
UACGUAGGGUGCGAGCGUUAAUCGGAAUUACUGGGCGUAAAGCGUGCGCAGGCGGUUUUGUAAGCCAGAUGUGAAAUCCCCGGGCUCAACCUGGAAAUGGCAUUGGAUACUAUUUAGCUUGAGGAGUGGAGGGGGGACUGGAAUUCUCGGUGUAGCAGUGAAAUGCGUAGAUAUCGAGAGGAACACCAGUGGCGAAGGCGAGUCCCUGGACACUUCCUGACACUGAGGCACGAAAGCUAGGGGAGCAAACAGG